rnacentral:rRNA from 1 species
CCUACGGGUGGCAGCAGUGAGGAAUAUUGGUCAAUGGGCGCGAGCCUGAACCAGCCAAGUAGCGUGAAGGAUGACUGCCCUACGGGUUGUAAAGAUCUGUCAGUGGGGACGAAACUUGACGGUACCCACAGAGGAAGCACCGGCUAACUCCGUGCCAGCAGCCGCGGUAAUACGGGGGGUGCAAGCGUUGUCCGGAAUCAUUGGGCGUAAAGAGUUCGUAGGCGGCACGUAAAGUCUGGUGUUAAAGGCAGAGGCUCAACUUCUGUACGGCACUGGAUACUUGCGAGCUAGAAUGCGGUAGAGGUAAAGGGAAUUCCUGGUGUAGCGGUGAAAUGCUUAGAUAUCAGGAGGAACAUCGGUGGCGUAAGCGCUUUACUGGGCCGUAAUUGACGCUGAGGAACGAAAGCCAGGGUAGCAAAUGGGAUUAGAUACCCUAGUAGUC